ensembl:lncRNA
CUCGUUCCGCUUUUGUCGUUUAAAUGCUGUCCGUACACAACACAAAUGACACCAGUUCGAUCGCUAACACACUUAAGUCUCACUAGGGAGAAGAAAAACCUUGCAAAAUGCGACCUACUAGUAACAGUCUGGAGCCCUGACUUUUCCCAAAUAACUUGUCGAACUGGUUUAAUAUCUUCUCUGACAUCGAACGCAGACUUGUGGAGCGUAACGUUAGUUGUUUUAGCAAAACAAAAGACAGGACAGAACUACACUUAAAGCGUUUUCUGAACUAACUGGUUGUGUACGAUGAAAUUACACACAAAACCCAUCUCGCUCUUCACACUGAUUCUGCUGUUUCACACUGUCCAAGCAGAAGCAUCUCAUGAUGAGGCUCUGAGGAUCCUGGUUGUGGGAGUCAGAGGUCAGUCCAGAUUCAGUGCUGCAGAUCUUCUGUCAGGAAGGAAAGACGGAGGACAGGAGGACAGAGAGAUUGUAAAGACUCCAGUAAUUACAGACGGGGCUCGUAGAAUGAUGCUGGUCACUGGACCAAACCUCUGUGAGGAGGACACAGAGAGACAGACCUUCACAACAGCGCUGUUUCUCUCGUCUCCUGGACCUCACGCCGUUCUAAUGGUCCUGAAUCUGGAAGAUCAACAAUCACAACAGUGUGAUAUUGAGAAACGAGCCCAGGAGCUGCUGGGAGCAGAAGUCCUCCAGUACUGCAUUGUUCUUCUGCUCCAAAAUCACCAGGAACCUUUGACAGGAGCCUCCAGAGGGAUUGCUGGAGAAAUGAUCAACGCAUGUGGAGGAAGAUUUCACAUCAUAAGAGACUCUGAACCAAAACCUGCUCAAAGAACAACUCUUAUAACAGAAAUACACAAGUUAGUUCGGCUCAAUGAUCACAGAUUUCACUCAGCACUGAGUGAAAAGUUAGAAGCAGAUGAAACCAUUCAAGAUGUGCAUGAACAAAAUCAAAUCCUCUCUGAAACACAUGACAGUUCAGCAGAAACUGCACGAUGGAUUUUACUCAUUUUACUGAACACUGCUUUUAUUUUCACUAAAAUAACGCAUGAACAUUUUCAUUUUGCGGAAAUAUUAUUUGUACUUGUUAGUUUUACGGUCACUAUAAGAAAUAUUCUCAAUCCAGAUGUUGCUGUUCCUUUAAAUUUGAUCCUAUCCUCCACUUUCCCAGUAGCUGUUGCAUAUCAUGACCUUGCAAAUUCGCGACAUGGACACCAAAUCAUAAUGUUUUUAGUCAUGAUCUUUACAUUUCCCAGUAUAGUGUUCAUAGCCGGUCUAGGACUGACUGUAGGAACAGCUGUCAGUGUACGGACGUGGUCAGAUGUGCUCAUAGCGUGCCAUGCUGCUCCCGGGGUCACAUUCGGGGCUCAUUUAUACACUAUUUACUCCAUUAUACCAGAUCAAAUGCAAGCUCGGACAACUCUAGUUUUUGCAUUCAAGUUAUUACUGUUUUGUUUUGUUGGAGUGACGCUCUCAAUGGGGUUUGUGACUGUAUUUGCUCUGUUUGGUGUGGAGAGAGCAAUAUUUCUGCUAAUAUUAGGAUUUACAAAAGCGUUUUUCCAUUUAAAGAGUGAUGCUGUGAAAUUUAUUGUUUUUUUCUUGAUUUUUCCAUGCUGUUGUGUAUUUAUUGGUUCUUUAAUUUCAUUUUUAUGCCGUGUAUUAUUUCAUUAUAUUUUCACAGUAAUUGGUAGCUGAUAAUAGUGACCAAAUCAAAAGAGACUAACAGAUUUUGGAUCAUAAGUUAAUGCUGAUUUUGAUUUUUUUUAUGUUAAUAUUUCAAACACGUAUUGAUGUUUCUUCAAGGAUGGGAACUUUUGGCCCAACACUAGUUCAUUUAAUUUGUUUACCAACGAGGGUUUAACAUCGGGUUUACAGAUGUCACAGGAAAAACAUUUACUGCACAUUUUAAAUGAUGUAUUAUGUUUAUCAGUGUUAUGUGGUGAAGGUUUUUUUUUUUUUCCUGAAAUAAAAUGCCUAUUUUCAUAGUUUGAAAAUACACACAAUGAAAAAAAUAUUUUGAUACUUUAAACAUAAUUUUGCAUAAAUAAAAACAGACAUUUCUGAAUUCUGCUGUUAUGCAUUCAUUAGAUGCAUAAAAAAAAAAAAACAUAAUUUAUUUAAUAGUCCCUCUUUGUUUAGAUCUCAUUUACUUACUAUACUGAAGUCUCAAACAAACCCCUGACUGUCACAUUCACUGUAAUGAGGAAUGACUCCUAAUCAAUAACCAUUUGAUUUGAGAUUUUUGAAGAUUUUACUUUAGAACAGAUAUCAUCUACUAAAACAUCUCCUGGACAAAUGAACGAAGACUAUCACUAUAACAGUAUGCAAUGUCCACUUACUUGCUCUGCAGACAAAUCAAUGCAGUUUUACUGGAAAUAGUUCAAAUAAUGCUGAUGUUGUGAUUGAUUUUAACCAGCAGUGCAGAUCAGAUGUUCUCAACUGGAAAUUAAACUGUAAAUAAAAAUAAAACUGACAGUAUGAAACAUGCAAAUAGUACUUAAAUAUAAUUUGUUAUCAAACCUCUCG